rnacentral:rRNA from 1 species
AGAGUUUGAUCAUGGCUCAGAACGAACGCUGGCGGCGUGGAUAAGACAUGCAAGUCGAACGGAUUUGGUGCUGUAGCAAUACAGUGCCGGGUCAGUGGCGCAAGGGUGCGUAACACGUGGGCAACCUGCCCUGGAGUCUGGAAUAGCCCGCCGAAAGGCGGAUUAAUACCGGAUGUGGCUACCUGCCGAUUGGUGGGGACGCUAAAGGUGGCGCAAGCUGCCGCUCCUGGAUGGGCCCGCGGCCUAUCAGCUAGUUGGUGAGGUAACGGCCCACCAAGGCAAUGAUCGCUAGCGGGUCUGAGAGGAUGACCCGCCAGACUGGGACGGAGGAACGGCCCAGACACCUACGGGUGGCAGCAGUUGGGAAUUUUGCGCAAUGGCCGAAAGGCUGACGCAGCAACGCCGCGUGGAGGACGACGCCUUUCGGGGUGUAAACUCCUUUUCUCAGAGAAGAAGUAAUGACGGUAUCUGAGGAAUAAGCAUCGGCUAACUCUGUGCCAGCAGCCGCGGUAAGACAGAGGAUGCAAGCGUUAUCCGGAAUGAUUGGGCGUAAAGCGUCUGUAGGUGGCUUUUUAAGUCUGCCGUCAAAUCCCAGGGCUUAACCCUGGACAGGCGGUGGAAACUACCAAGCUGGAGUACGGUAGGGGCAGAGGGAAUUCCUGGUGUAGCGGUGAAAUGCGUAGAGAUCAGGAAGAACAUCGGUGGCGAAGGCGCUCUGCUGGACCAUAACUGACACUCAGGGACGAAAGCUAGGGGAGCGAAUGGGAUUAGAUACCCCCGUAGUCC